AGAGCGAACGCUGGCGGCAGGCCUAAUACAUGCAAGUCGAACGAACCCUUCGGGGUUAGUGGCGGACGGGUGAGUAACACGUGGGAACGUGCCCUUUGGUUCGGAACAACUCAGGGAAACUUGAGCUAAUACCGGAUAAGCCCUUCGGGGGAAAGAUUUAUCGCCAUUGGAGCGGCCCGCGUCUGAUUAGCUAGUUGGUGAGGUAAAGGCUCACCAAGGCUUCGAUCAGUAGCUGGUCUGAGAGGAUGAUCAGCCACACUGGGACUGAGACACGGCCCAGACUCCUACGGGAGGCAGCAGUAGGGAAUCUUGCGCAAUGGGCGAAAGCCUGACGCAGCCAUGCCGCGUGAAUGAUGAAGGUCUUAGGAUUAGUAAAAUUCUUUCAGCGGGGACGAUAAUGACGGUACCCGCAGAAGAAGCCCCGGCUAACUUCGCGCCAGCAGCCGC
rnacentral:rRNA from 1 species